CCCAGAAAUACCUUAAAUAUGUUUGUGUAUGUCCAGCCAUUUAAAGUUCAGGGGUUAAUCAGUGGGCCAUGGGUUAAUUCAGAUUGGGUGUUAACAUCCUUGAAGUCCUGCGUCUCGGGUUUUAUUCAUCCGCCGGCUGGUUAUUGUUGCACAUGGUAGUGUUCAUGGGUGCCAGCCCCUGUACCGCCCACGGCCCUCCGCCCACAUUAACCCUUUAGCAGCAGCAUCCUGAUACGCCCCGAGACCCCCGCUUAACCCCUUAACGCCGGAGUGCGUGACUCAAUGCCUGAUUGUAGUCUGAUGCAGAUUGGCUCCGGCUGCCUCCCUCCACCCACACACGGCCGCCUGCCACGCCCACUCGACCUCAGUGGUGCCAAUUAUGGAUGACAAAAGAUAAACAAUGCGGGGCCAUAAAAGCCAGGUAUUUGAGUCCAAUGCCCAUCAUUCAACUCCAAGAUGCGUCUCUUUCUGUUGUUAUUUUUGGCCCUCAGCUGCUGCCUGAUGCAACCGAGCAUGGCAGAAGUGGGUUUGGUUCGUGGACUGGAGACUGCCACUCAUCAUCACAACUCCACUGGAGAACAAUUCAGAGCUCCUCCACCACCACCUAGCUCUACAGCAGCCGGAUCGACAGGUUAGAUGGUUCCAACACUAUGGAAAGGAACAUCUUUUGACCGCAGCCGAGUGCAAAAAAAUAUAUCACGUUAUUCACUUGAAGUGUUACUCAAUUUGUACUACAAAUAAAGGUCUAGCAAACAG